rnacentral:rRNA from 1 species
UACGUAGGGACCAAGCGUUGUUCGGAUUUACUGGGCGUAAAGGGCGCGUAGGCGGCGCGGUAAGUCACUUGUGAAAUCUCUGAGCUUAACUCAGAACGGCCAAGUGAUACUGCAGUGCUAGAGUGUGGAAGGGGCAAUCGGAAUUCUUGGUGUAGCGGUGAAAUGCGUAGAUAUCAAGAGGAACACCUGAGGUGAAAGACGGGUUGCUGGGCCAACACGUGACGCUGAGGCGCGAAAGCCAGGGGAGCAAACGGGG